rnacentral:rRNA from 1 species
UACGUAGGCAGCGAGCGUUGUUCGGAGUUACUGGGCGUAAAGCGUGCGCAGGCGGUUUUGUAAGUCUGUCGUGAAAUCCCCCGGGCUCAACCUGGGAAUUGCGAUGGAGACUGCAAGGCUAGAAUCUGGCAGAGGGGGGUAGAAUUCCACGUGUAGCAGUGAAAUGCGUAGAGAUGUGGAGGAACACCGAUGGCGAAGGCAGCCCCCUGGGUCAAGAUUGACGCUCAUGCACGAAAGCGUGGGGAGCAAACAGG